AUAUCUUUAUUUCGUGGCUUGUAACCACGACCAGCAAUAGAGCCACCUUAUUGAGGUUGUUCUUCAGUUGCUUCACACGCCAUGACCCCAGCCAUGGCUGCCAUAUAUGAUGCAUUGUGCCAUGCUUCAUCUUCUCGUCUCAUUUUCGCCCAUUUAUCUUCCAAUUCGGAAUUAGAUGAGGACCCCCAGUUGGAAACCGAAGAGGAUCCAAAGUUGGAAUUCAUUGCAAACUUGAAUUGAAAAAGAUAUUGGAGAGGGCAAAGCUGAAGGUGUGUGAAUUAUAGACCAAUAUCCACCCUAUUUAUGGACAUUGGAAGCUGAAGAUAAAGAGUGCCACACAAAUAAAAAUCCUAUCUAAAAUACCCACAACCAAUUACAUCUAGACACGUGACACUCGAAAUCCUAUCUGAAAAAUUAUUGAGAUUACAUAUCGACAAGAAAUCUACAUAGUUACUCACAGAUUGACACGUGGCUCUCGAAGCUCAAGACGUAAAAUUAUUGAGAUUCCUUAUUAACAAGAAAUCUGCAAAGUUACUCACAAAUUGACACGUGGCACUCGAAAUCCGAGACGUAAAAUUAUUGAGAUUCCAACUUGAAAAAUUAAUGACAUUCCAUCUUGAAAAAUUAUUGAGGUAGUUUAAUUUAAGUAACUAUAUUAAUCAAUUAAAAUAAUAUAUUAUGUUUAGCCCUUUUACCCCUAAGUUGGAGAUGGUUUUUUAUCACAGGGCUAUGUUUGGCCUAUGGCUCUCUGGCCCCUCG
rnacentral:lncRNA from 1 species